CAUCCCCAUCUCCCCCUCCUCCAUAUAUCUACAAGUCCCCACCUCCUCCUUCACCAUCACCACCUCCUCCCUACUACUACCAUUCACCUCCCCCACCGAUGAAAUCACCCCCACCCCCGGUUUACAUUUACACUCCGUAAAUCACCACAAAUCAUGUUUUAGUGUCAGCAAUGUAAUAAAAGAAGGGUUCAAGAGCGAAAAGAGUAGAUACGAAGGAUCCUUUCCAAAACCAUUCAAUAAGUGUCUGAAUUUUGCAACAAAAAUGUUAAAAAACUUUACCAUUCUCUCAAACUUCAACGUGGCAAUCUUGCAUAGCAUUAUAUUGGGCCCGGCUUCGAAAGGUUCCCUUCGAAUCAAGAUGAGGAAGUGAGAUUGAAGAAGCAGACCGGGAUUUGGAAAUGAGCUUUUGCAGAUUGUUUGUUAGUUGUUUUUAUUUUAUUUUAAUUUAUUUGAUCAAAUUAUUAUAGGGGUUCCAUUUAAUUUAUUUAAUAUAUAUAUGUAUUAUCGCAUAGCCUCGUUUGUUUGGGCUUCUAUUUAUUGUGGGCAAAUUGUGGUUUCUGGGACCUUCUUGUGCUUUGCACCGAGGUUAUUGGUAAUAAAGGAACGCUCUUUUUCAACUUA